GUGCUCGUUUUGGCAGCACAUACACUAAAAUUGGAACGAUACAGAGAAAAUUAGCAUGGCCCCUGCGCAAGAAUGACACGCAGAACCAUCACGCAAAAAAGCCCUGG